rnacentral:pre_miRNA from 1 species
UUGACAAAAUUUCCCAAGAAAUGAAAUUUUGUCAAAAUUUCGUUUCUUGGUACAUUUUGUCAAAAUUUCAUUUCUUGGGAAAUUUUGUCA